AUUGAACGCUGGCGGCAGGCCUAACACAUGCAAGUCGAGCGAGCGGCGGACGGGUGAGUAAUGUCUGGGAAACUGCCUGAUGGAGGGGGAUAACUACUGGAAACGGUAGCUACUACCGCAUACCAUCAGAUGUUCCCAGAUGGGAUUAGCUGGUAGGGGGGGUAACGGCUCACCUAGGCGACGAUCCCUAGCUGGUCUGAGAGGAUGACCAGCAACACUGGAACUGAGACACGGUCCAGACCCCUACGGGAGGAAGCAGUGGGGAAUAUGGCAAAAUGGGGGCAAGCCUGAUGCAGCCAUGCCGCGGGUGUGAAGAAGGCCUUCGGGUUUUAAAGCACUUUCAGCGGGGAGGCGUUACCCGCAGAAGAAGCACCGGCUAACUCCGUGCCAGCAGCCGCGGUAAUAC
rnacentral:rRNA from 1 species